rnacentral:rRNA from 1 species
GUGAGUAACGCGUGUACAAUCUGCCUUCUGGUCUGGGACAACAGAAGGAAACUUCUGCUAAUCCCGGAUGAGCCCUUGGGUAAAAGAUUUAUUGCCUGGAGAUUGAGCUCGCGUCUGAUUAGCUAGUUGGUGUGAUAAAAGCAUUCCUAGGCGACGAUCAUUAGCUGGUCUGAGAGGAUGAUCAGCCACACUGGGACUGAGACACGGCCCAGACUCCUACGGGAGGCAGCAGUGGGGGAUUUUCCUCAAUGGGCGAAAGCCUGACUGAGCAAGACCGCGUGGGGGAGGAAAGCUCUAGGGCUGUUAACCCCUUUUCU